AAUCAAGACUUCCGAAAAGGAGAUAGCAUUGCAGGCUACUUUUAAGGUGGUACUAUGCAUGUCAUCUAACAACUGCUAUUAAACAAUAUUAAGGAUUUAGCACGACAAAAGACCUUGUUGCUGUUGGAAAGCACUGUUAGUGUUUUACUUUGUGAAGACAUGACACCUGAUGUUUAUGGUAACUGGCUGCGCUAUGUCUUGUUUGGCUUGUGGGUCAUCAAUAUCAUCCUGAUAUUUAUCAUAUAUCACCUGCGAAAACCUCUGGAUGAGAUAACUGAAAAUUACAAAAAUUACAAAAGGGACCAGGACAAUGUAUAUGACGAUAUUCAAAACAUCAGGACUAUCUACGCUUGAAUUCAGACAGAUAAUGAAAACAUCAGGCUGCUAAAUAUGAAUGUUUAACCAAAGCAAGUUAAUUUCAUCCUGGAUAAUUAAUUCAAAAAUGCCUAAAACAGCUUAAUGUAUCUCUCAUAGAGAUGUCAUAAUGUAUCUCACUUAUAACAGGGUCACACACUCAUUUCACGUCACAUCA